rnacentral:rRNA from 1 species
UCCGGAAAAUCAAGGCUGAGGCGUGAUGACGAGGCACUACGGUGCUGAAGCAACAAAUGCCCUGCUUCCAGGAAAAGCCUCUAAGCAUCAGGUAACAUCAAAUCGUACCCCAAACCGACACAGGUGGUCAGGUAGAGAAUACCAAGGCGCUUGAGAGAACUCGGGUGAAGGAACUAGGCAAAAUGGUGCCGUAACUUCGGGAGAAGGCACGCUGAUAUGUAGGUGAAGUCCCUCGCGG